GAUGAACGCUGGCGGCGUGCCUAAUACAUGCAAGUCGAGCGAACGGGCGAGAAGCUUGCUUCUCUGAUGUUAGCGGCGGACGGGUGAGUAACACGUGGAUAACCUACCUAUAAGACUGGGAUAACUUCGGGAAACCGGAGCUAAUACCGGAUGAUAUUUUGAACCGCAUGGUUCAAAAGUGAAAGACGGUCUUGCUGUCACUUAUAGAUGGAUCCGCGCUGCAUUAGCUAGUUGGUAAGGUAACGGCUUACCAAGGCAACGAUGCAUAGCCGGCCUGAGAGGGUGAUCGGCCACACUGGAACUGAGACACGGUCCAGACUCCUACGGGAGGCAGCAGUAGGGAAUCUUCCGCAAUGGGCGAAAGCCUGACGGAGCAACGCCGCGUGAGUGAUGAAGGUCUUCGGAUCGUAAAACUCUGUUAUUAGGGAAGAACAUAUGUGUAAGUAACUGUGCACAUCUUGACGGUACCUAAUCAGAAAGCCACGGCUAACUACGUG
rnacentral:rRNA from 1 species